rnacentral:lncRNA from 1 species
CUCAACAUGCAGAAGCAAGUCGCCUUUUUUCCUGGGAAACUUCAGGUCGUGUUCCUCAAGGGGCCUCUUGGGUUUCUCCUCCAGGAGCCAUCUGAUGAAGCCAAACAGGCAGGCGCUGCGUUCCAGGUACACGAAUGUUCAGGUUGCAGCAGAACCUGCUGAAGAGGCAGCAGCCCACCACAUCUUCCACACCUGCUGAGCAUCCCAUGAAGGCCCCAGCUGAGCCCCUGGCCAUGGAGGAGGACGUGGAGAUGGAAAGGGAGAUGCUGAGCAUCCAUAACGCUGAUCUGCAAGUCCAGAGCUAUGCUAUGCCAGUAGCAGCAGCCGCCCUGCCCACGCCUCUGACGCAGGACUCCAUUGAAAAAAUUGUGCAGGGUAUUCUAGAGAUGCAGCAGCAGCAGCAGACAAAACUUCCCCACAAGCUCCAGCUCUUUUCCCGCCAGAGAGGUGACGUUCCAUGUUCCAAAAGCCAAUUUCCAUAACCGAGGAUCGGACCGCCAAGGCCCCCACCUUGGUCCGCCGCGCAAUCCACACUGCACCGGACCCUUCAUGCUCCUCCUGCGGGUGGUGGGUCCACUGGAGACGGGAGUAUCCACAUAGCUGGUUCGGGCUCGGCCCGACCCGGCCUCAUGGACGUAGGCCCGGCCACCAAGCGCUCGCCAUCGAGCCCCGGCCCCAGGCCUGGCUCCAGGGUGGGGCCCCGGUAAACCUCCGGGCCGGGUACGCAGCUUCCCUUUUAGAUGUUCCAUGAUGGGUCUUCUGAACCACCGCAGCAUGAUGCUGAAAAGUUAAUUCAUGCUUUUGUUACUUCCAGGCUGGACUAUUGUAAUUCUUUAUUAUCAGGGUGUCCAAACAACUCUUUAGGAAGCCUCCAGUUGAUCCAAAAUGCUGCAGCCAGAGUUCUGACAGGUAUUGACAAAAGAGAUCACAUCUCCUGUAAUGGCGUCGCUUCAUUGGCUGCCUGUUAAAUUUAGAAUAAUUUUUAAAACCCUUCUUUUGACCUAAAGGGUCCUCAGAGGCCUAGCUCCAUCCUACCUGGAGGAGCUAGUGAUACCUUACCAGCCCAAUAGACCGCUCCGCUCUCAGAAUGCUGGUCUACUUGUGGUUCCCAGAGUUUCCAGGAGUAGAAUGGGGGGCCGAGCAUUUAGCUACCAGGCCCCCCUGCUUUGGAACCAGCUCCCUGUCCAGGUACAGGAGGCUGACUCCAUCGCUACUUUUAAGAUCAGACUUAAAACCUACCUCUUUGAAAAAGCUUAUUGUUACUAAUUCUGUAGUUCCAGUUACUAUCAUAGACAGACAAAUUAUCAUACUUAGGGGGUCGUCUAAUCGUUAGGUCACAUCUUAGCUAUGCUGCUAUAGGCCAAGGCUGCCGGGGUCCAGAAACAUGAUCACCUGACAGGCCUCUGUCACCCCACUGGGUCAUGGUUUCCUCUCCUCUCCUCUCCUCUCCUCUCCUCUCCUCUCCUCUCCUCUCCUCUCCUCUCCUCUCCUCUCCUCUCCUCUCCUCUCCUCCCCUUCUCCUCUCUCUCUACCCAGCUCCCCCAUCAGCAGGAGGGUCCCCCUACAUGAGCCUGGUCCUGCUCAAGGUUUCUUCCUGUUAAAGGGAAGAAACCUUCCUUGCCACUGUUGCUUGUCUGGGGUCAGGCCCUGGGAUUCUGGAAAGCGCCUUGAAACAAUUUUGAUUGUAUAAAGAUUGAUUUGAUUUGAUUCUUUGUCUGACCCUUCACCUUGGACCAAUCUGCCUUGGGAGACCCUACCAGGGGCAAACUGCCCCGGAAAGCAGAGCUCCCAGGCUCAUUAGGGUACGCAAACUCCUCCACCACGAUAAGGUGAUGGUUCACGGAGGAGUAUAGAGGGUUCUCAUAUGAUCAAAUUCAAUAAAACAUAAGAAUAAGAUAAAAGCAAUUUGCAUUGGCCGGGAAUCGAACCCGGGCCUCCCGCGUGGCAGGCGAGAAUAGGUGUAACGGAGAACCAGCCAAUCAGAUCGAAGCUGCCCGAAGACCUCAGAGGGAGAGUUAGAAUCCAGCUUUGGGCAUAAUCACGUCGAAGAUAUGUGUUUGAAAAAUUCACGUUAAUAAAAAUGUUUAAAGAGCAUCGCAGUUUCUGGGUUUCUGUGAGUUUAAUGAGCCACAAAUGCUUG